rnacentral:telomerase_RNA from 1 species
UUGGGAGUUGUGGGGUCUGUGGCGCCGCACAUUGCUCCAUAAACCCUAAACCUUUCUCAUUAAAAGAGAAUGACAAUGUUAUAGUGAGGGAUUUCUCUGGUAUUUGCCCUUUAUAAUUAAAUACCAAAGCAAAUAAUGUGCAGCAAGCCACAGGGUAGAUAAGGGAGUCUUGCACUUCCUUAUAGCCCCUCGGGUCAGGGUUAGAGGUGCUCUGCCGGUAUCAGACAAAUGCCUCGCGGGGUUUGUUCCUCCCCUCCCGUGCAACUCCCAACUUUU